GUCUGUCUUCCCACUGCUGGUGACUGGCAGGACAAGACAAGGGGAAGACCUCCUUAAUAUUUCCCCCAAGAAAACUUAUGUUAAUCUUAUAUCUGAAUAUAUAGCCUAAUCCUAGUAUUCAUAUCUCUGCCCUCAGUGAUCAUCAGCCCAUCUCUAAUAUUUCUUUUGUUCAGAAAAGGUAAACUCUUCUUACUUUCCAGCAGCAGAUUACACAAAGGGAACUUUAUGGUAUAUAUUACAGUCACAAAGCAGUUUUCUCCAUCUUGCAAUCACUUAAAAAAAAAAAAAAACAGCUUUCUUCUUAUCUCAUCUUCCUUCCUGCAUGAAUGUCUGAGAUAAUCAAUGAAGUUCCUGUGUAGAGAAUAAAUUGAGCUCGAAUGGCUCCUCUUAAACUGUACAAUCAAAGAAAGAGGAGGUUUUCUCCUGAUGAUUUUGAUAUUCAGUUUAACUUUCUUCGCCAGGCUGUCAGCUCAGUGAAAGUGAGGUCAAUCUGACCACACUCUUCCUAAAGGAUCCUCUCCUGAACCAUCUGCUUGAGUAUACAUCUCCUGACAAAUCAAUGGCAAAAUCGAGAGGUAGGGAUGAAUACCAUCCAGGAACAAAAGAACAAGUGAAUAAAGUGUCCUAAGCAAUUUUUGCAAAGAAUAUACAUUUUUAAGUUGUUCUGGAGAUGAUAAGGAUUGGACCUUAGCACCAGCAACCUCCAGCAGACUGCAAUGGCUCUGCCUUUAAUACACUUCCACCCGUGUGUGUUAUACAGCCGUAAUACUGAACACAUGAGGCAGACAGCUGCCCUGAGGCAUUCUCUGUUAAAAACUUUCAUAUCACUACGGAACUGAAUGCACCAUUAUAACACCACGUCUCCUCUUCUUCACUGUAAGAAUUGUUCUGAGAACCAGGCAAUGUCAUGGAAAUGUUAUAAUAGACACAUCCAGAAUAUAUGGCUGCUGCUUCCUCAUAACUGAGACCUGUGUAGUGCAAAUGAAAGCAGUUUUCUGGAUGAAGCAACCUUUUCCUCAGAGUCUUGGGCUCCACAUCCACUCCCUGCCAGGACAGGUGCGUCCCACACAGUUUGUGUCCAGCCUUCCUCUAUCAGGCAUGCUGUAACUUCUGCCGUUUUUUUCAGCCCACAGUGAGUCAACCUGGGCAUAGCUGAAGGACAUGAAACUGUUUAUGUUUGGUCAUGUUUUAAGGACAUGAAACUGUUGGAGAGUGUACAGAGGAGGGCUACGAAGGGCUACGAAGAUGGUGAAAGGCCUGGAGGGGAAGACGUACGAGGAACGGCUGAGGUCACUGGGCCUGUUCAGCCUGGAGAAGAGGAGGCU
rnacentral:lncRNA from 1 species